UAAAUACUACCUGAUGACCGAUAGAGGAGCAGUACCGUGAGGGAAAGGUGAAAAGAACCCCGGGAGGGGAGUGAAAGAGUACCUGAAACCUUGUGCUUACAAGCAGUCAAAGCCCGUUAAAGGGUGAUGGCGUACUUUUUGUAGAACGGUCCGGCGAGUUAUAGUAACUGGCGAGGUUAAGGUAUUGAGUACCGAAGCCGAAGGGAAACCGAGUGUGAAGAGCGCGAAUGAAGUCAGUUGCCAUAGACCCGAAACCAGGUGACCUAGCCAUGACCAGGCUGAAGUGGAGGUAAAGCUCCAUGGAGGGCCGAACCCACGUUCGUUGCAAUGACCGGGGAUGAGUUGUGGCUAGCGGUGAAAUUCCAAACGAACCUGGAGAUAGCUGGUUCUCCCCGAAAUAGUUUUAGGACUAGCGUUGGCAAUGAGUUUCGCGGUGGUAAAGCACUGAAUGGGCUAGGGGGCGAUAAGCUUACUGAACCCUAUCAAACUAAGAAUGCCGCAGAAAUGCUUACCAGCAGUCAGACUACGAGUAAUAAAAUCCGUGGUCAAAAGGGAAAUAGCCCAGACCCACAGCUAAGGUCCCGAAUACAUGCUAAGUGGAAAACGAUGUGAGAUUGCAGAAACAACCAGGAUGUUGGCUUAGAGGCAGCCACUCGUUCAAAGAGUGCGUAAUAGCUCACUGGUCGAGUGAUCUUGCGCGGAAAAUUUAACGGGGCUAAGCAUGUAACCGAAGCUUGGGAUUCACGCGUAAGUGUGAGUGGUAGGGGAGCGUCGAAUACGGGGUGAAGUCGCACCGGAAGGAGCGGUGGACUGUAUUCGAGUGAGAAUGCCGGAAUGAGUAGCGAGAAUUAUGUGGGAAUCAUAAUGGCCGAAAAUCUAAGGUUUCCUGGGGAAGGUUCGUCCGCCCAGGGUAAGCCGGGAGCUAAGGCGAGGCCGCAAGGCGUAGUCGAUGCACAUACGGUAGAAAUUCCGUAGCCGGUACAAUUGUUAAUCACGGUGACACAUGAGUAUAGCUCUACCGGGCGUUGGUAGCCCCGGGCGUAAGCGAGUCGAAUGAGACGAAGUGAGUAAAGCUUGUGGCGAGAAAAGCCGUGUGUAUUGGUUGUACUGCCCGUACCGCAAACCGACACAGGUAGAUGAGGAGAAGAUCCUAAGGCCAACGGGAGAAGGGUUGUUAAGGAACUAGGCAAAUUGACCCCGUAACUUCGGAAUAAGGGGUGCCUACGAAAGUAGGUCGCAGAGAAUAGGCCCAAGCAACUGUUUACCAAAAACACAGGUCUCUGCUAAAUCGAAAGAUGACGUAUAGGGGCUGACGCCUGCCCGGUGCCGGAAGGUUAAGAGGAGAGCUUAGCGCAAGCGAAGGUUUGAAUUGAAGCCCCGGUAAACGGCGGCCGUAACUAUAACGGUCCUAAGGUAGCGAAAUUCCUUGUCAGGUAAGUUCUGACCCGCA
rnacentral:rRNA from 1 species